AAAGGAAUUGACGGGGGCCCGCACAAGCGGAGGAACAUGUGGUUUAAUUCGAUGAUACGCGAGGAACCUUACCCGGGCUCGAACGGUGCAGGGAUGAAUCAGAGAUGGUUCAGCUAGCAAUAGCCUGCAUCGAGGUGCUGCAUGGUUGUCGUCAGCUCGUGCCGUGAGGUGUCGGCUUAAGUGCCAUAACGAGCGCAACCCUUGUCGUUAGUUGCCAUCAGGUAAAGCUGGGGACUCUAGCGAGACUGCCACCGUAAGGUGUGAGGAAGGGGGGGAUGACGUCAAAUCAGCACGGCCCUUACGUCCGGGGCGACACACGUGUUACAAUGGUCGGUACAGAGGGCUGCUACACAGUGAUGUGAUGCUAAUCUCUAAAGCCGGUCUCAGUUCGGAUCGGAGUCUGCAACUCGACUCCGUGAAGUUGGAUUCGCUAGUAAUCGCACAUCAGCCAUGGUGCGGUGAAUACGUUCCCGGGCCUUGUACACACCGCCCGU
rnacentral:rRNA from 1 species